rnacentral:rRNA from 1 species
CCUGAGUAAAGUGGCGCACGGGUGAGUAACACGUGGAUUAUCUGCCUUUUAGUGGGGAAUACCUCUGGGAAACCGGAGACAAUACCGCAUAAGCCUAUAAAGGGAAAGCCGAAAGGCGCUGAAAGAGGAGUCCGCGGCCGAUUAGCUAGUUGGUGAGGUAAUGGCUCACCAAGGCGAAGAUCGGUAGCCGGCCUGAGAGGGCACACGGCCACACUGGCACUGAAACACGGGCCAG